GGUGGCUUAGUGCUUAAGAGUUUGGCUGCUAUCCAAAAGGUUGGCAGUUCGAAUCUACCAGCCACUC
rnacentral:tRNA from 1 species